UGGGCUUCUCCAAAUCGAAAUUCAGAUAAACAUUUAGGGCUCUACUGGACUGAAAUCCGGAUAAACAUUUAUGCCCUUCGGAGCUCUAUCGGAUUCAAAUUCAGAUAAACAUUUAUGCCCUUUAGGGCUCUACUGAACUGAAAUUUGGAUAAACAUUCAUGCCCUUCGGAGCUCUAUCAGAUUGAAAUCCGGAUAAACAUUCAUGUCCUUCAGGACU
rnacentral:lncRNA from 1 species